GAUGAACGCUGGCGGCGUGCCUAAUACAUGCAAGUCGAGCGAACAGACGAGGAGCUUGCUCCUCUGACGUUAGCGGCGGACGGGUGAGUAACACGUGGAUAACCUACCUAUAAGACUGGGAUAACUUCGGGAAACCGGAGCUAAUACCGGAUAAUAUAUUGAACCGCAUGGUUCAAUAGUGAAAGACGGUUUUGCUGUCACUUAUAGAUGGAUCCGCGCCGCAUUAGCUAGUUGGUAAGGUAACGGCUUACCAAGGCAACGAUGGGUAGCCGACCUGAGAGGGGCGGCGACGGCAGUCGAUCAGAGACGCGGUCAGAGCUCCUACAGACGGCAGCAGGAGGGAACCGUCGGCAAUAGUGGAAAACGUGCCGAAGCAUGAUGCAGUGAGUGAUCGAGGUGUACGGAGCGUAAAGCUCUGUUAUUAGCUAAGAACAAAUGUGUGAGUAGCUAUGCGCUUCGUGACGGGAAGUGGUCAGAAAGCCACGGCUAACUACGUG
rnacentral:rRNA from 1 species